GACGAACGCUGGCGGCGUGCUUAACACAUGCAAGUCGAACGGAAAGGCCCUGCUUUUGUGGGGUGCUCGAGUGGCGAACGGGUGAGUAACACGUGAGUAACCUGCCCUUGACUUUGGGAUAACUUCAGGAAACUGGGGCUAAUACCGGAUAGGAGCUCCUGCUGCAUGGUGGGGGUUGGAAAGUUUCGGCGGUUGGGGAUGGACUCGCGGCUUAUCAGCUUGUUGGUGGGGUAGUGGCUUACCAAGGCUUUGACGGGUAGCCGGGCUGAGAGGGUGACCGGGCCAAUUUGGAAGGGGAUAAGGGCCAAGGCCCUGAGGGGGGGAGGAGGGGGGGAAAGUUCCAGAAGGGGGGAAGGCUGGUGCAGGAAGCCCGGCGUGGGGGUUGAGGGCUUCGGGGUUGAAAACCGUUUUUGCCUGGGAAGAGGGUGGAGGGAGGGAAGGGGUAAAAAAGGCCCGGCUAACUCCGGG
rnacentral:rRNA from 1 species